rnacentral:rRNA from 1 species
AGAACGAACGCUGGCGGCAUGCCUAAUACAUGCAAGUCGAACGAACACUUCGGUGUUAGUGGCGCACGGGUGCGUAACGCGUGGGAAUCUGCCCUUGGGUUCGGAAUAACAGUUGGAAACGACUGCUAAUACCGGAUGAUAUCGAAAGAUCAAAGAUUUAUCGCCCAGGGAUGAGCCCGCGUAGGAUUAGCUAGUUGGUGAGGCAAAGGCUCACCAAGGCGACGAUCCUUAGCUGGUCUGAGAGGAUGAUCAGCCACACUGGGACUGAGACGACGGCCCAGACUCCUACGGGAGCAGCAGUAGGGAAUAUUGGACUAAGUGGGCGACAAGGUCCUGGACUCCGAGACCAAGUCGACCGCGUGAGUGAUGAAGGUCGUUAGGUGUAA